rnacentral:rRNA from 1 species
GGUUAAGCGACUAAGCGUACACGGUGGAUGCCCUGGCAGUCAGAGGCGAUGAAGGACGUGCUAAUCUGCGAUAAGCGCCGGUAAGGUGAUAUGAACCGUUAUAACCGGCGAUUUCCGAAUGGGGAAACCCAGUGUGAUUCGUCACACUAUCAUUAACUGAAUCCAUAGGUUAAUGAGGCGAACCGGGGGAACUGAAACAUCUAAGUACCCCGAGGAAAAGAAAUCAACCGAGAUUCCCCCAGUAGCGGCGAGCGAACGGGGAGGAGCCCAGAGCCUGAAUCAGCAUGUGUGUUAGUGGAAGCGUCUGGAAAGGCGCGCGAUACAGGGUGACAGCCCCGUACACAAAAGCGCAUGUGCUGUGAGCUCGAUGAGUAGGGCGGGACACGUGGUAUCCUGUCUGAAUAUGGGGGGACCAUCCUCCAAGGCUAAAUACUCCUGACUGACCGAUAGUGAACCAGUACCGUGAGGGAAAGGCGAAAAGAACCCCGGCGAGGGGAGUGAAAAAGAACCUGAAACCGUGUACGUACAAGCAGUGGGAGCACAGGUUUACCUGUGUGACUGCGUACCUUUUGUAUAAUGGGUCAGCGACUUAUAUUCUGUAGCAAGGUUAACCGUAUAGGGGAGCCGUAGGGAAACCGAGUCUUAACCGGGCGUUAAGUUGCAGGGUAUAGACCCGAAACCCGGUGAUCUAGCCAUGGGCAGGUUGAAGGUUGGGUAACACUAACUGGAGGACCGAACCGACUAAUGUUGAAAAAUUAGCGGAUGACCUGUGGCUGGGGGUGAAAGGCCAAUCAAACCGGGAGAUAGCUGGUUCUCCCCGAAAGCUAUUUAGGUAGCGCCUCGUGAAUUCAUCUCCGGGGGUAGAGCACUGUUUCGGCUAGGGGGCCAUCCCGGCUUACCAACCCGAUGCAAACUGCGAAUACCGGAGAAUGUUAUCACGGGAGACACACGGCGGGUGCUAACGUCCGUCGUGAAGAGGGAAACAACCCAGACCGCCAGCUAAGGUCCCAAAGUCAUGGUUAAGUGGGAAACGAUGUGGGAAGGCCCAGACAGCCAGGAUGUUGGCUUAGAAGCAGCCAUCAUUUAAAGAAAGCGUAAUAGCUCACUGGUCGAGUCGGCCUGCGCGGAAGAUGUAACGGGGCUAAACCAUGCACCGAAGCUGCGGCAGCGAACGUAUCACCCAAGACAACUUUACGGAGUUGACGAUUGACGGAGCGAAGCGACGUCAAAGCGUUCAUUAAAGUCGAGUUGGCUUAGGGAUACGUUCGUUGGGUAGGGGAGCGUUCUGUAAGCCUGUGAAGGUGUGUCGUGAGGCAUGCUGGAGGUAUCAGAAGUGCGAAUGCUGACAUAAGUAACGAUAAAGCGGGUGAAAAGCCCGCUCGCCGGAAGACCAAGGGUUCCUGUCCAACGUUAAUCGGGGCAGGGUGAGUCGACCCCUAAGGCGAGGCCGAAAGGCGUAGUCGAUGGGAAACGGGUUAAUAUUCCCGUACUUGGUGUUACUGCGAAGGGGGGACGGAGAAGGCUAUGUUGGCCGGGCGACGGUUGUCCCGGUUUAAGCGUGUAGGUGUGUGUUCCAGGUAAAUCCGGUUCACUUUAACACUGAGGCGUGACGACGAGGCACUACGGUGCUGAAGCAACAAAUGCCCUGCUUCCAGGAAAAGCCUCUAAGCAUCAGGUAACACGAAAUCGUACCCCAAACCGACACAGGUGGUCAGGUAGAGAAUACCAAGGCGCUUGAGAGAACUCGGGUGAAGGAACUAGGCAAAAUGGUGCCGUAACUUCGGGAGAAGGCACGCUGACACGUAGGUGAAGUGAUUUACUCAUGGAGCUGAAGUCAGUCGAAGAUACCAGCUGGCUGCAACUGUUUAUUAAAAACACAGCACUGUGCAAACACGAAAGUGGACGUAUACGGUGUGACGCCUGCCCGGUGCCGGAA